rnacentral:rRNA from 1 species
UACGUAGGGUGCAAGCGUUGUCCGGAAUUAUUGGGCGUAAAGAGCUUGUAGGCGGUUUGUCGCGUCUGCUGUGAAAUUUCGGGGCUCAACCCCGAACUUGCAGUGGGUACGGGCAGACUAGAGUGUGGUAGGGGAGACUGGAAUUCCUGGUGUAGCGGUGAAAUGCGCAGAUAUCAGGAGGAACACCGAUGGCGAAGGCAGGUCUCUGGGCCAUAACUGACGCUGAGAAGCGAAAGCAUGGGGAGC